GAUGAACGCUGGCGGCGUGCCUAAUACAUGCAAGUCGAGCGAACAGACGAGGAGCUUGCUCCUCUGACGUUAGCGGCGGACGGGUGAGUAACACGUGGAUAACCUACCUAUCAGUCUGGGAUAACUUCGGGAAACCGGAGCUAAUACCGGAUAAUAUAUUGAACCGCAUGGGUCAAUAGUGAGAGACGGUGUUGCUGUCACGUAUCGAUGGAUCCGCGCCGCAUUAGCUAGUUGGUAAGGUAACGGCUUACCAAGGCAACGAUGCGUAGCCGACCUGAGAGGGGGCUCGGCCACACUGGAAGUGAGACACGGUCCAGACUCCUACGGGAGGCAGCAGUAGGGAAUCUUCCGCAAUGGGCGAAAGCUUGACGGAGCAAGGCCGCGUGAGUGAUGAAGGUCUUCGGAUCGUAAAACUCUGUUAUGAGGGAAGAACAAAUGUGUAAGUAAAUAUGCACGUCUUGACGGUACCGAAUCAGAAAGCCACGGCUAACUACGUG
rnacentral:rRNA from 1 species